ACCUACAGCUGAAUGUUAUCACUUCCAGGUGAAGGGGUCCCAGGGCCUUGCUGGCCUGGAAGUAGAGUUGUACAGACAUCGCCUGCUGAUGCUCCCUUAUCCUCCAGAUCUCUGGGUCUCCUUCUAAAACAUUAGGACUAGAAGAAACUACGAGAGCAUCCAAGCAUUUCCUCCAACGUUCUGUUUUACAGGCACUGUCUGUGACACUUGGGAUAUGUCAGCGAUCCAAAGAGACCACGAUGCCUGCCCGUGGGGACUUCAUGUUCCAGUGGAAGAAAACAAACAAUUACACAAAGAUCAGAAGAGGAUGUGAGGUCAAGCCCAGUGCUCCAGAGGCCCGUGUGGUCUUUGUUCCCCAAGGAGGCAGGACAGGACAGAGGUUAUAAGGACUUAAGUUCCAAUAUCAAACUAGAUUCAA
rnacentral:lncRNA from 1 species